CGGAGUGGCGAACGGGUGAGUAAUACAUCGGAACGUGUCCGCUCGUGGGGGGACAACCAGCCGAAAGGUUGGCUAAUACCGCAUGAGUUCUACGGAAGAAAGAGGGGGACCCGCAAGGGCCUCUCGCGAGCGGAGCGGCCGAUGACUGAUUAGCCGGUUGGUGAGGUAACGGCUCACCAAAGCAACGAUCAGUAGCUGGUCUGAGAGGACGACCAGCCACACUGGGACUGAGACACGGCCCAGACUCCUACGGAAGGCAGCAG
rnacentral:rRNA from 1 species